rnacentral:misc_RNA from 1 species
UUGAAUAAACCUGAUGGGUUGCUGCUGGUUUUGUAAAGAACAUGUGCGCACCUGUCAUCUUUAUAUCUCCACCUGUGCACUUUUUGUAGACCUGGAUAAGUUUCUUAAUGCUAGCAUUAAGGUUUUGGGAUUGACUUUGUUUCAUUUCAUUGUCUCUCCUUUGAUUUCUGGGUCUAUGUUUAUCAAUAUACCCUAAUAUAUGUUAUUGAAUGUAAUAAAUUGGCCUUUGUGCCUAUAACACUAUA